GGUCCUGAUGGCUUCACGGCGAC
rnacentral:siRNA from 1 species